AUUGAACGCUGGCGGCAGGCUUAACACAUGCAAGUCGAACGGACGGCGGGCGGGUGAGUAAUGUAUGGGGAUCUGCCUGAUGGCGGGGGGUAACCCAUGGAAACGGUAGCUAAUAACGCAUACCAUCAGAUGAACCCAUAAGGGAUUAGCUUGUAGGUGAGGUAACGGCUCACCUAGGCGACGAUCCCUAGCUGGUCUGAGAGGAUGAUCAGCCACACUGGGACUGAGACACGGCCCAGACUCCUACGGGAGGCAGCAGUGGGGAAUAUUGCACAAUGGGCGCAAGCCUGAUGCAGCCAUGCCGCGUGUAUGAAGAAGGCCUUCGGGUUGUAAAGUACUUUCGGUGGCGAGGCGUUACCUACAGAAGAAGCACCGGCUAACUCCGUGCCAGCAGCCGCGGUAAUAC
rnacentral:rRNA from 1 species